AGUGAACGCUGGCGGUAGGCCUAACACAUGCAAGUCGAACGGCAGCACAGUAAGAGCUUGCUCUUACGGGUGGCGAGUGGCGGACGGGUGAGGAAUACAUCGGAAUCUACUUUUUCGUGGGGGAUAACGUAGGGAAACUUACGCUAAUACCGCAUACGACCUACGGGUGAAAGCAGGGGAUCUUCGGACCUUGCGCGAUUGAAUGAGCCGAUGUCGGAUUAGCUAGUUGGCGGGGUAAAGGCCCACCAAGGCGACGAUCCGUAGCUGGUCUGAGAGGAUGAUCAGCCACACUGGAACUGAGACACGGUCCAGACUCCUACGGGAGGCAGCAGUGGGGAAUAUUGGACAAUGGGAGCAAGCCUGAUCCAGCCAUACCGCGUGAGUGAAGAAGGCCUUCGGGUUGUAAAGCCCUUUUGUUGGGAAAGAAAAGCAGCAGGUUAAUACCCCGCUGUUCUGACGGUACCCAAAGAAUAAGCACCGGCUAACUUCGUG
rnacentral:rRNA from 1 species